rnacentral:rRNA from 1 species
GUUUGAUCCUGGCUCAGGAUGAACGCUAGCGGCAGGCUUACACAUGCAAGUCGAGGGGGUAUAGUAGCAAUACUUGAGACCGGCGCACGGGUGCGUAACGCGUAUGCAAUCUACCUUUUGCAGGGGAAUAGCCCAGAGAAAUUUGGAUUAAUGCCCCAUAGUAUAAUGUCUUGGCAUCGAGAUAUUAUUAAAGUCACAACGGCAAAAGAUGAGCAUGCGUCCCAUUAGCUAGUUGGUAAGGUAACGGCUUACCAAGGCGACGAUGGGUAGGGGUCCUGAGAGGGAGAUCCCCCACACUGGUACUGAGACACGGACCAGACUCCUACGGGAGGCGGCAGUGAGGAAUAUUGGACAAUGGGCGCAAGCCUGAUCCAGCCAUGCCGCGUGCAGGAUGAAGCAUCUAUGGUGUGUAAACUGCUUUUGUACGAGAAGAAACACUGCAACGUGUUGCAGCUUGACGGUAUCGUAAGAAUAAGGAUCGGCUAACUCCGUGCCAGCAGCCGCGGUAAUACGGAGGAUCCAAGCGUUAUCCGGAAUCAUUGGGUUUAAAGGGUCCGUAGGCGGGCCAGUAAGUCAGUGGUGAAAUCUCCCGGCUCAACCGGGAAAUGGCCAUUGAUACUGCUGGUCUUGAAUUAUUAGGAAGUAACUAGAAUAUGUAGUGUAGCGGUGAAAUGCUUAGAGAUUACAUGGAAUACCAAUUGCGAAGGCAGGUUACUACUAGUGGAUUGACGCUGAUGGACGAAAGCGUGGGUAGCGAACAGGAUUAGAUACCCUGGUAGUCCACGCCGUAAACGAAGGAUACUAGCUGUUGGGGGCAACUUCAGUGGCUAAGCGAAAGUGAUAAGUAUCCCACCUGGGGAGUACGUUUCGCAAGAAUGAAACUCAAAGGAAUUGACG